AAAUGACUCUCGGCAACGGAUAUCUCGGCUCACGCAUCGAUGAAGAACGUAGCAAAAUGCGAUACUUGGUGUGAAUUGCAGAAUCCCGUGAACCAUCGAGUUUUUGAACGCAAGUUGCGCCCAAAGCCAUCCGGUUGAGGGCACGCCUGCCUGGGCGUCACG
rnacentral:rRNA from 2 species